rnacentral:rRNA from 1 species
UACGGGGGGGGCAAGCGUUGUUCGGAAUUACUGGGCGUAAAGGGCGCGUAGGCGGCCUGCUAAGUCGGAUGUGAAAUCCCUCGGCUCAACCGAGGAACUGCACCCGAUACUGGUUGGCUAGAGUCCGGGAGGGGGUAGCGGAAUUCCCAGUGUAGCGGUGAAAUGCGUAGAUAUUGGGAAGAACACCGGUGGCGAAGGCGGCUACCUGGACCGGUACUGACGCUGAGGCGCGAAAGCCAGGGGAGCGAAUGGG